AAUACCGGAUAACAACACUAGACGCAUGUCUAGAGUUUAAAAGAUGGUUCUGCUAUCACUCUUGGAUGGACCUGCGGUGCAUUAGCUAGUUGGUAAGGUAACGGCUUACCAAGGCAAUGAUGCAUAGCCGAGUUGAGAGACUGAUCGGCCACAUUGGGACUGAGACACGGCCCAAACUCCUACGGGAGGCAGCAGUAGGGAAUCUUCCACAAUGGACGCAAGUCUGAUGGAGCAACGCCGCGUGAGUGAAGAAGGGUUUCGGCUCGUAAAGCUCUGUUGGUAGUGAAGAAAGAUAGAGGUAGUAACUGGCCUUUAUUUGACGGUAAUUACCUAGAAAGUCACGGCUAACUACGUGCCAGCAGCCGCGGUAAUACGUAGGUGGCAAGCGUUGUCCGGAUUUAUUGGGCGUAAAGCGAGUGCAGGCGGUUCAAUAAGUCUGAUGUGAAAGCCUUCGGCUCAACCGGAGAAUUGCAUCAGAAACUGUUGAACUUGAGUGCAGAAGAGGAGAGUGGAACUCCAUGUGUAGCGGUGGAAUGCGUAGAUAUAUGGAAGAACACCAGUGGCGAAGGCGGCUCUCUGGUCUGCAACUGACGCUGAGGCUCGAAAGCAUGGGUAGCGAACAGGAUUAGAUACCCUGGUAGUCCAUGCCGUAAACGAUGAGUGCUAAGUGUUGGGAGGUUUCCGCCUCUCAGUGCUGCAGC
rnacentral:rRNA from 1 species